UGCCAGCACCAUUUGUUGAAAAUGCUGUGU
rnacentral:piRNA from 1 species